rfam:Sorghum bicolor cultivar BTx623 chromosome 2, whole genome shotgun sequence.
GUAGUCGGAUUCACAUCAAUCCACAUGUGUUGAGGUGGAUUAGAGUGGAACUUGAAUUAAAUUCCACCUCAAUCCACACCAACACAUGGAUUGAAGUGGAUCCGACA